rnacentral:rRNA from 1 species
AUGGAGGGAGUCGAGGGACUGUUGAGGGGGUUGAAGCUGUCGGAGGCAGAGAAGAGAGGGUUGAAGAUCGGGGACGAGGGGUUAGGGAAGGCUGCGGACGGGGCGGCGGACGAGCCACAAGCGAUGGGCAAACUCUAUUCGAAGAAGCUCGCACAUGCCAGCGUGAUUGGGCAGACGCUGGGGAGGAUCUGGUGCCCCAUUAAAGGUGUGGACUGUAAGGAGGUCGAGGCCAAUGUGUUCUUAUUUACCUUCUGCCAACCGGCGGGUUGGAGACGAGCAUUGGAGGAAGGGCCAUGGUGGUUUGAUAAAGAACUCCUGGUAAUGGAAGAGUUCGAUCCGGAGAAGACAGUAGAUGAGUAUGACUUCAAUCUGAUUCCGAUAUGGUUCCGUGUGUUCAGGCUGCCACUCGGGUAUAUGAACAGAGCAACAGGUGAG